rnacentral:rRNA from 1 species
AUUGAACGCUGGCGGCAGGCUUAACACAUGCAAGUCGAGCGAGCGGCGGACGGGUGAGUAAUGUCUGGGAAACUGCCUGAUGGAGGGGGAUAACUACUGGAAACGGUAGCUAAUACCGCAUACCAUCAGAUGUGCCCAGAUGGGUUUAGCUAGUAGGUGGGGUAAUGGCACACCUAGACGACGAUCCCUAGCUGGUCGGAGAGGAUGACCAGCGACACUGGUACUGAGACACGGUCCGAACACCUACGGGAGGCAGCAGGGGGUGAUAUUGCACAGUGAGCGCAAGCCUGAUGCAGCCAGGCCGGGUGUGUGAAGAAGGCCUUCGGGUUGUAAAGCACUUUCAGCGAGGAGGCGUUACUCGCAGAAGAAGCACCGGCUAACUCCGUGCCAGCAGCCGCGGUAAUUC